GGGUCAGUAGGUCGGUCGUGCCACUGGUAUGAACUGGUUUUACUGAUUCCUCCCUCUUGAAGAACUGUAAUGCCAUUAAUUUGGUGUCAUAUGGAACCAGGACUUUUACCUUGAAAAAAUUAGAGUGUUUAAAGCAGGCUUUAGCUUGAAUACAUUAGCAUGGAAUAAUGAAAUAGGACGUUUGAUCCUAUUUUGUUGGUUUCUAGGAUUGACGUA
rnacentral:rRNA from 1 species